UUUAAUACCCAUCCGAAUGUAUGCUAUUUUGUCAAUAGGAAAAAAUGAAAUAACAGUGGUUUAUAGCAUACAACUAGCAUCAGAUUUGGAUGAGUCGCAUUGCUAUUACAUUGUGGAACAAAAUCCAUAUUAGAAUUAAAAAACAAAACAAAAUAUAAUAAAAUGUGUCUAUCGCACUUCAAUCUGAAUCGGAUGCCUUUGUAUUGUUUUGUAAAGUUUUUUUUUGUUGUUAUUCAUUUUUGAUGCUUCUUUCUUUUUAAAAGCAAAAUUAUUCUGUGAAGUGUUUUUGAAAGUGCAAGUUGUGAAUAUUGAAAAAAAGUUAAUAAAAUAAAAUAAAUUAAUAAAAUAAGAAUAUAGUAAGUCUUGUGUGUUAAAUAAGUUUAAUAAAAUGUCAGGAUUCAUUAGGAGAAAUUUAAGACGAUAAAAUAAAGUGGAAGCGGACAAUUUAAAAAGAAAAGCUCAGUUGAGGACGGACUGUUUGGAAAACAAUUAAACAAUGACUAAAUGAGCAGAUUCCAUGCAUUCCAAAAUUGUAGAAGAUUUUGGAAAAUAUGUUAGUAUCAUAAAAAUUAUAAUUUCACCAGAUGUCCUUAUUAAAAACUUCUGCAAGAUUAUUGACAUUUCUAUAAUAUUAUCGUACAACUAUGAUGGUACCCGAAAUAAAAAGGCGUUUAAGGAAUUUAAACUUUAAAAUAUGGUCAUUUUCGAAGCUGUCCGAUGUGAAGGAUUCAAUGAACAGAAUUACGCCAAAAAAUUAGAAAUUGUUUCAAAUUCCAUAAGGCCAGACACUUCCGAACAAUGUCCUACAAUAAAAAAAAAACUGGAAGAAUUUAAUUUUUUUCUUUAGUUUAAGCUUUGUUUCUUCCCACGUCUUUUUAAUAACUUUUAUGAAUUUCUUUUUUAUGCAUUAUUUCUAAUUAUAAUAAGAAUAUUUUAUUGUUGAAACACGGUUUUAUAAUACGAAUAUUUUAAUAAAAAAACAGCUGAAAUUUAAGUUCCACAAUCUAAAAUGUUGAUGGAAUCGGACCCAUCCAACCUUCGCUUACAAUGUUGAUAGAUUUCGGACCCAUCCAACAUUCGCUUACAUUGUCGGUCGAUUUCGGACCCGUCCAACAUUCGCUUACAUUGUCGGUAGAUUUCGGACUCGUCUGACGGCCUAGGCCAUCGCUGUGUAAAUGUAAGUAGAAAUUGUAUACAGGCUUUGGAUGGGUCGCACCUACAUUGUCAUUGGUCUCAGAUGGAAGAUGUAUGUGCUAAAAAAUCCGCUGGGUUAGCAAACAAGUGA